rnacentral:rRNA from 1 species
AACCCGCCUGCGUGAAGUUGGAAUCGCUAGUAAUCGCGGAUCAGCAUGCCGCGGUGAAUACGUUCCCGGGCCUUGUACACACCGCCCGUCACACCAUGAGAGUCGGGAACACCCGAAGUCCGUAGCCUAACCGCAAGGGGGCGCGGCCGAAGGUGGGUUCGAUAAUUGGGGUGAAGUCGUAACAAGGUACC